UGAAUACGAGAUGCUACGGCGUCGAAGCAGUCUAUGUCAUACUUCCAAGAAAAGCUCGCACUGUCAUAAACAAAUAAUGCCUGUACCAUAACCGACACAGGUGGGUAGGUAGAGUAUACUAAGGGGCGCGAGAUAACUCUCUCUAAGGAACUCGGCAAAAUGACUCCGUAACUUCGGGAGAAGGAGUGCCUUAUUUAUAAGGUUGCAAUAACAAGAUCCAAGCAACUGUUUAUCAAAAACACAGGUCUCCGCUAAGUCGUAAGACGAUGUAUGGGGGCUGACGCCUGCCCAGUGCCAGAAGGUUAAAGAAGUUGGUUAGCAUCCGCGAAGCUGAUAACUGAAGCCCUGGUGAACGGCGGCCGUAACGAUAACGGUCCUAAGGUAGCGAAAUUCCUUGUCGGGUAAGUUCCGACCCGCACGAAAGGCGUAAUGAUUUGGAUACUGUCUCGGAGAGGGGCUCGGUGAAAUAGACUUGUCUGUGAAGAUGCGGACUACCUGCACCAGGACAGAAAGACCCUAUGAAGCUUUACUGUAACUUGAGAUUGAAAUUGGACUUUACUUGCGCAGUAUAGGUGGGAGGCGUUGAUAAUAUUCUUGCGGGAUUAUUUGAGCCAUCAGUGAGAUACCACUCUUGUAAUGUUAGAUUUCUAACUUUGUAUCAUUAUCUGGUCAAAGGACAGUUUCAGGCGGGCAGUUUGACUGGGGCGGUCGCCUCCUAAACGGUAACGGAGGCGCACAAAGGUUUCCUCUGAACGGGUAGAAAUCGUAUCUAGAGUGUAAAGGCAUAAGGAAGCUUGACUGUGAGACCUACAAGUCGAGCAGGGACGAAAGUCGGUCUUAGUGAUCUGACGGUGCUGAGUGGAAAGGCCGUCACUCAACGGAUAAAAGUUACUCUAGGAUAACAGGCUGAUCUCCCCCAAGAGUUCACAUCGACGGGGAGGUUUGGCACCUCGAUGUCGGCUCAUCGCAUCCUGGGGCGGUAGUACGUCCCAAGGGUUGGGCUGUUCGCCCAUGAAAGCGGUACGCGAGCUGGGUUCAGAACGUCGUGAGACAGUUCGGUCCAUAUCCGGUGUAGGCGUUAGAAUAUUGAGAGGAGCCUUCUUUAGUACGAGAGGACCGAGAAGGACAUACCUCUGGUGUACCAGUUAUCGUGCCAACGGUAAACGCUGGGUAGCUAUGUAUGGAGUGGAUAACCGCUGAAAGCAUCUAAGUGGGAAGCCCACCUCAAGAUAAGUAUUCUC
rnacentral:rRNA from 1 species